UCCAGUCAAAGGAUACCAGGAUUAACCUGCAAGCUAAGGAAGUGAACCUGGAAACCAAUGAAGUGGCGGCAACGUUGGACGAGGGCCACCACAGCAACGUGACGUUGGAUGAGGGCCACCACAGCAACGUGACGAGGGC